rnacentral:rRNA from 1 species
CCUGGCUCAGAUUGAACGCUGGCGGCAGGCCUAACACAUGCAAGUCGAGCGGAUGAGUGGAGCUUGCUCCAUGAUUCAGCGGCGGACGGGUGAGUAAUGCCUAGGAAUCUGCCUGGUAGUGGGGGACAACGUUUCGAAAGGAACGCUAAUACCGCAUACGUCCUACGGGAGAAAGCAGGGGACCUUCGGGCCUUGCGCUAUCAGAUGAGCCUAGGUCGGAUUAGCUAGUUGGUGAGGUAAAGGCUCACCAAGGCGACGAUCCGUAACUGGUCUGAGAGGAUGAUCAGUCACACUGGAACUGAGACACGGUCCAGACUCCUACGGGAGGCAGCAGUGGGGAAUAUUGGACAAUGGGCGAAAGCCUGAUCCAGCCAUGCCGCGUGUGUGAAGAAGGUCUUCGGAUUGUAAAGCACUUUAAGUUGGG